GGGGUGGGGGUGGGUAAAGCUGACAUCUCGGUGCCCACACAGAGCCUGGCUAUGGAUCGGAGAGAGGAGCAGGAAGUAAGGAAAGAGGAGCAGGAGGUGGGGAGAGAGGAGCAGGAAGUAAGGAGAGAGGAGCAGGAAGUAAGGAGAGAGGAGCAGGAAGUGGGGAGAGAGGAGCAGGAAGUGAGAGGAGGUGGCAGAGGGGAGAAAAACAAGGGCCAUGCUAUAGAUGUACAGUGGGGUAGAGUUUGCCAGCACGCAGCCAGAUAAAGUUAGCAAGAGAGGAGAUGGACUCAACUGGGAGGAAGAAACCGUGUGUGUGUCUGUGUGUGUGUGUGAAUGUGUGAGUGAGGGUGCAUGUUUGUGUGUGUGGGGUGUGUAUAAGUGAGUGUGUUUGCAUGCAUGUAUGUGUGUGUGGGAUAUGUGUGAGUGAGUGUGUACGUGUACGUGUGUGUGUGUGUGUUGUGUGUGCAUGUGUGUGUGAGUGUGUGUUUGAGGGGUGACUGUGUUGAGACACGCCGGAGGAGGAAGUGCAUGGUAGGUGUGAGGCGUCAUGGCCCAGUAAAGGUGAGGGACGUUGGAGACACAGGGUAGGUGUGUGUGUGUGUG
ensembl:lncRNA